GCCCAGGUGGCGAAAUGGCAGACGCGGUGGACUUAAAAUCCGCUAUCCUUACGGGUGUGGGGGUUCGAAUCCCUUCCUGGGCACCA
rnacentral:tRNA from 1 species